AGCGACACUGAAGGAUGGGGACCCGGUGGGGUCCGGACUCAGGGGUUCGGAGUGGGAAAGCCAGGUUCUUUAGCUGGAUACUUUGAGCAGUUCCCACAACGCACCUUGGAUGACAGAUGGAGAAACUGAGGUCCUACAUUUGAACUGGCUGCUCUGUGCGUUGUGUGUCCAGGCGACAGAGUUGGAGCCCCAAUCCAGAGGCCCUGGGUAUCAUCCCAAAAGCCUGUGCUACGUAUCUGUGGACAACUCCUUCUCCUCGUUUUCUUUCUAGGUAGGUCUUUAUUAAAUCAUAAAGUGAGCAUUCAUCAUCUUGACAGUGAACGAAUUAUAAGCUAAAGGUCUAUCUCUAAAACUUGGCUUCUGUUAAUUCCUCCCCAAGCUCCAUAGAACCAAAUGUCUGAGUUGAACCAUGCGCUCCUCCUCUAGUGGGUGUUUAUUCUGAUAUGCAGCUAUUUUUUUUUUUUUCCGGCAUUUCUUUCUUUGGGCUUACAGGCAGUGCCAUCAACAUAGGUGUUACUUUUCAGGCUAUGUUUUACGUUCACUGAUAUGUCUGCCUUUGUGUCCAGAGUCUGGCUUGAAGCCAUCAUGAUGACGAAAAAAUAAAUGAGCCUCUAGCAAACAAUAUGUAGGCCUCUGUAGGUAUCUGAUGACUUCAUGUCUAUAGAGUGAACAGAAUGAAUCAAAAUUAAGAUCCCUUUUAAGGCCUACCCAGUAAUAUGACUUUGAUCAAAGUCAGGGUCCCACAAAAAGAGCAAAAUUGAUUUGCCAGUUUCAUUGAGGUUCUUUUGCUUUGCCCAAAUCAACUUACGGAGCUGGACUUGGGUGUCUGGAAUGGUGGGAUAAACAAAGAUUCCAGCUUUAGCUGUACUCACUUGGCCUAAAUUUUAAUCAUAAAUCCAUCACUUCAAUAUUUCAUACAAAUAAAAGCAAUUUCCAUUUUGAGUUUUCUCCCACUACCAAGGUCCUCAUAUAGCUCUUACCUCUCCAGCACCACAUUGUAGAAUUUCGAUAUUUGACCCAGAGGAAGCUGGGAAAGAGAAUAGAUAGAUCCUGUUGCCUACAGUCUUUAUUCAACUUGGAUUUGCUUUAGUGGGCAGUGUGAAUCAACACUCAGCUACAUUGCAUGCUACCCAAGAACAUCAUGACUCAAGAGUCACUGGCCAGAAGUCAUUGAACUCGGUUUCAACAACUCCAGAGUCGAGAAUUCAUGGUUUCCAUGUUUGCACCAGCUCUGAAUCAGGAAAUUCACAGAGUAAUACAAGAGUCAGACUCGUGGAGUUCCCAUGUGGCUCAGUGGGUUAAGAACCUGACUAGUAUCCAUGAGGAUGUGGGCUGGAUCCCUGGCCUUUCUCAAUGGGUUAAAGGAUCUGGUGUUGCCAUGAGCUGUGGUGUAGGUUGCAGAUGCAGCUCGGAUCCUGAGUUGCUGUGGCUAUAGUGUAGGCUGGCAGCUGUAACUGUGAUUCAGCCCCUGGCCUGAGAACUUCUGUAUGCUGCAGGUGCAGCC
rnacentral:lncRNA from 1 species